GGGGUUGGUGAAGUGGUAUCACGACGGUCUCCAAAACCGUAGUCGCGGGUUCGAUUCCCGCACUCCUUGCCA
rnacentral:tRNA from 1 species